UGUAAAAUUUUAAGGGUCGAACAGACCCAAUAUUUUAGCUCCUACACCAAAAAUUUAUUUUAAUCCAACAUCGAGGUCGCAAUCUUUUCUUUUAAUAUGAACUUUCUAAAAAAAUUACGCUGUUAUCCCUAAGGUAAUUUUAUCUUUUAAUCAAAAUUAUUGGAUCAAUUACUCAUAAAUUAAUGAUAUAAAUAAAAAAAAGUUAAUUAAAUUUUUCAAUCACCCCAACUAAAUUAUAUUUUUUAAAUAAUAAAUAAAUACUUAAAUAAUAUUUAAAAAAAAUAAUAAAACUCUAUAGGGUCUUCUCGUCUUUUAAUAAUAAUUAAGCUUUUUAACUUAAAAAUAAAAUUCUAUUUAAAUUUAAUAGAGACAGCUACUUUUUUAUUCAACCCUUCAUUCCAGUUCUUAAUUAAAAAACUAAUGAUUAUGCUACCUUAGCACGGUCAAUAUACCACGGCCAUUUAAAAUUUCAGUGGGCAGGUCAGACCUUAAAUUAUAAACAAAAGGAC
rnacentral:rRNA from 1 species